GGUGGUGGAACCACUGAGCUAAAUCCUCAGCCCUGACUAUUUCUUAAUUGAGGCUUAUCACAUGUGAUUCAAGAAAAUAUCUUGUUAAGAGCUUCCACUUUUUAAAUUAAUAGCAUAAAAAAAAAUCAGUGGGUUUCUGUUUAGCUUCAUUGGAACUUUCUCUAAGUGGACGGAGAUCAGGGGGAACAACUUCCCCGAAUGCGACAGGUAUCGGGGCCCAGAGCCCUGAGCAGCGGCGGUUAUAACCCUCGUGGCUGAGAAGCUCAGGGCUUCAAGGGAGAGGAUUACUGCUUUGAAGGUGACUCUUAACACCGAGCUUCCAUCUUUACAGGCCUUAGAGGUGUCAAGGACUUGAUCUUCUCAUACCUGUACACGUCCAAUUCAACCACCACCGAAUUAACACAGAUCCCCUGUCUACAGAGGGGGAAACAGACCAGAGCAGGAUUAAAGAUGUUUGCCAGAGUGAUGAAGGGAUUUUCGCAGGCUCUCUUAGCCUGGGUUCUCUUGAAGGCGAGGCUGAGCCAGUUUACUUUGCAGCAUCCUUGGUAGGGAGUUUCCUCGGAUCAAACACUCUGAGAAGGAAGCAGGGAGAGACGCGGGGGCGGAGCAUCUCCCCGGUACGGUACCUGCUGCAGGUGUGCUUGGCUUCCUGUCGCCAGCAGGCAGCUGGCAGCUGUGCAAGAAGCAGUCUGGAGGGGUGGCUGAGAGCAGCCGGCCCACAGCAGGCCGCAGCUCAGGAAGUCGUGUGCCAGGCGGAGGAGUGGGCAGCCCGCCUCUCACCAGGGAAACGCAGACGGUCCGAGACAGCGCCGCCAGAGCCCCAACCGCGGGACCACACAGGCUAGCGGCGACGCCAGCAGGCGAGGACGCGGAGGGACGGGACGUUGCACGCUUCUGGUGGUGGGAGUGUAAAUUAGCAGACACAUGGAGGAGUAAUAACAGGACUGCUGCAGGGCUCGGGAAAUCCGGAGCCAAGACUGGUCUCAGAGACGCUAGCCCUCGCGGUUUCAAGAAUUGCUCAAAGCAGCCGGGUGCUGAUGGAAGCGACCUGGGUGGGAACGGAAUCAGCUGAAGAAUGGAAGUGCGACACACACACAGCUGAGCACUGUACGGCCAGAAAAAUCAUAAAACCCUGUUAUGUCUGGCAACAUAAAGGGGGCUGGAAAUAUUGUGUUGACCGAAAUGAGGCGGCACAGAAAGGCAGUGCCAAAUGACUUCACUCACACACGGGGUCUGACCUCGUAGAAGUUGGGAACAGGAUAGUGGGUACCAGGCUGCAGGGGCAGGUGAGGGGCAACGCUCAUGGAGCGGUGAAUCAGGGCUGGAGGCCCGGGAAGUGUGGCAGGACAGCCAUGGACAACAAUGGCAAAGGUAUUUCAAACAGAUGAGAGACAGAGUGUUUCUGAAGUUUUCAACAUAAAGAAAUGAUAAAUGCAUAGCCUGAUUUAAAUAUAGCACACGUGUACAUGUGCCAAAAUAUAACACAGUUGUCCAAUAUUACAUACAAUUUUAUCAAUUACACUUGUUAAAAAAUAAAGAGACAGCAGUGUUACUUGUUGUCCAUUGCGGUGGCUUAUGUAGUCUUUAAGGGAACUAUGCUGCUUCAUUGAGUGCUUUCAGGUGAUGAGAAAGACAUCAACAAGGCAAAGCAAGCAUUUAGCAAGGAAUGCUGACAGGUGACAAAUCAAUGAAAUUUAUUCUAUUGAAAUUGCUUGGCAUUUUUGAAGACUAUUAUUUGAUGUGGGGAACUGAUUUUAGAAUUAAUUUAUCUCUUCUAUAUAAUACCUAGAAAUGAAUAUAACAUGUAAGCCAAGCCGAGUAGUAGGGAUGCCUAGGCAAAUUUAGAAUAGUUGUAGGUUAAAAACAUGAGAUUGUGUGUUUGUCUUGACUUUCAGGAAAGAAUUUUAAUUCUAGUUUUUAUCUAAUGAUCACUCAAGAUUUAUGGUUCCGUGAGUCUUCUGGAAGACCACCAAAGCUAUUGUGCAGUUCUGCUUCCCAAAGGACAUUGGAAAGUUUAGAGCUAUCAUCAGCUAUAUUACUUGGUUCAGUGAGAUGGAGACCAUUAACCACAUGAUUUUAGAACUAGAAUUUAGAAUUGAAGAGCAUGAAAUAAUGCAGAAAGGUAGUCUGCAAGACAAACCUGCCAAUAAGUUUUGUUUGUCCCACUUCUGUUCCUAUGCACUAUGAAUUAGUUGCUGUAAGUUCAAUUGGAAGCUAUUUUCUACCCCUUCCUGGGGAGGAAUCAUGUUUCUCAACCCCAUAGGCAUUAAUCUAGGUCAGGUGAUUGUUCAGCAUCUGAACUGUUAUGGACUUGUUUUGGCGUAAGAACCACCGAAUGCUUUGCCAGGUUUUUCCCCUCUCAGCAGCAGCUAACUCAGGCUGGAAUCACAGUAUCAUGGAGCAGAUGAAAACCAGGACCACGACCAACUUGGGGUGUUCAUCUAGAGUGAACCGGAAAAGACAGUGUGCUUAAAAUAAUCGGUAUCUUCAUACUGCUAGCACAGCAUAUUGUUACUAUAGCAUAAGCUCAUUUAUUCUUACAGACUUGCCACAUUUAUAACAUAAAACUAUAAUCUCUACCCAGUCAGAAUGUCUGACAGUAUCAGUCAGUGCUUGCUCCAGUUGUCAAGGUACCCACACAGCUUCCUGCUCAGUGCCUGCCCUGUAGAAAAUCACGCUCACAGCUCUGCUCCAAGGCUUCCCCUGUCAAUCCAAACAUGGUGCUACCAGGUGGAUUCAGUGCGUGAGUAUACACAGCUGCACACAAAUGUGUACACUUACAGGCAUCGGGGUACUACUUGAAACUCUUGAAGCUUUUCCAUUAAUUUUAGAAAUACAAUAAGUACUCUCCUCAGUUACUGUGUAUCCAUUUGCUAGAAAUGUAAAGCAGUUCAAAGACACAUAUAACUGAUGUGAGUACUACAAAGGAAUACACAAAAUUCUUUUUUUUUGAUACCGGGGAUCUAACUCGGGUCCUUACA